rnacentral:rRNA from 1 species
AAUGAACGCUGGCGGCAGGCCUAACACAUGCAAGUCGAACGGGUCCUUCGGGACUAGUGGCGGACGGGUGAGUAACGCGUGGGAACGUGCCCCUUGGUACGGAAUAGCCCCGGGAAACUGGGAGUAAUACCGUAUGUGGUCGAGAGACGAAAGAUUUAUCGCCAAGGGAUCGGCCCGCGUUGGAUUAGGUAGUUGGUAGGGUAAUGGCCUACCAAGCCGACGAUCCAUAGCUGGUUUGGGAGGAUGAUCAACCACACCGGGACUGAGACACGCCGCAGACUCCUACGGGAGGCAGCAGUGGGGAAUCUGAGACAAUGGGGGAAACCCUGAUCUAGCCAUGCCGCGUGAUCGAUGAAGGCCUUAGGGUUGUAAAGAUCUUUCAGGUGGGAAGAUAAUGACUGUACCACCAGAAGAAGCCCCGGCUAACUCCGUGCCUGCCGCCGCGGUAAGAC